UACGGGGGGGGCUAGUGUUGUUCGGAAUUACUGGGCGUAAAGGGCGCGUAGGCGGUCUAUUAAGUUGGAUGUGAAAACUCUGGGCUUAACCCAGAGCCUGCAUUCAAAACUGAUAGGCUGGAGUUCUGGAGGGGAUAGCGGAAUUCCUGGUGUAGCGGUGAAAUGCGUAGAUAUCAGGAGGAACACCGGUGGCGAAGGCGGGUCUCUGGGCAGUAACUGACGCUGAGGAGCGAAAGCCAGGGGAGCAAACGGG
rnacentral:rRNA from 1 species